rnacentral:tRNA from 1 species
GCCUGGGUGGCUCAGUCAGUUAAGCAUCUGACUUCAGCUCAGGUCACGAUCUCAUGGUCCGUGAGUUCGAGCCCCACGUCGGGCU